rnacentral:rRNA from 1 species
GCGCACCAGUCGAGAAUAUUAUACAAUGCACGAAAGUGUGAUAUGGCGAUUCAGAGUGUCAUUCUCACGGAUGACUGUUGCACAGUGUAAACAGCUGUGUUAGAAAGGAGAGGGCAAGGAUGGUGCCAGCAGCCGCGGUAAAACCAUCUCUCCGAAGGGACUGCUUUUUAUAGGCCUAAAGCGUGCGCAGCCGGCUCGGGGUAGUCUUUGGUGAAAGCUAGUCGCUCAACGAUUAGAGUUGCUGAAGAAACCACCGAGCUUGGGAUAGGAAGAGAGAAGUGGUACUACGUGGGGAAGCGGUGAAAUGCGUAGAUCCUAGUGGGACCAUCUGUGGCGAAGGCGUACUUCUUAGUACUAGUCCGACGGUCAUGCACGAAAGCCAGGGUAGCAAAGCGGAUUAGAUACCCCUGUA